AGGGAUGUUACUUUCAGGCUAAUAGAA
rnacentral:piRNA from 1 species